UGGGGAAUAUUGCGCAAUGGGCGAAAGCCUGACGCAGCGACGCCGCGUGAGGGAUGAAGGUUCUCGGAUCGUAAACCUCUGUCAGAAGGGAAGAAAUUACAUGAUGCUAAUCAGUUGUGUAUUGACGGUACCUUCAAAGGAAGCACCGGCUAACUCCGUGCCAGCAGCCGCGGUAAUACGGAGGGUGCGAGCGUUAAUCGGAAUCACUGGGCGUAAAGCGCGCGUAGGCUGUUUUUUAAGUCAGGGGUGAAAGCCCACCGCUCAACGGUGGAACUGCCUUUGAUACUGGAUAACUUGAGUGUGAGAGAGGAUAGCAGAAUUCCAAGUGUAGGAGUGAAAUCCGUAGAUAUUUGGAGGAAUACCGGUGGCGAAGGCGGCUAUCUGGCUCACAACUGACGCUGAGGUGCGAAAGCGUGGGGAGCAAACA
rnacentral:rRNA from 1 species